UUCCGGUUGAUCCUGCCGGACCUCAUUGCUAUCGGGGUGGGGCUAAAACAUGCAAGUCGAGCGCCUCCAAGCUAUGGUGAAGGCGCGGCAUACGGCUCAGUAACACGUGGCCAACCUACCCUUGGGACGGAGACAACCCCGGGAAACUGGGGCUAAUCCCCGAUAGGUAAGGAAUCCUGGAAUGGAUCCUUGCUGAAAGGGCGUCUAGACCAUGCUUCUUGACGUCGCCCAAGGAUGGAGCCGCGACCGAUCAGGCUGUUGGCGAGGCAACGGCUCACCAAACCUAUAACCGGUACGGGCCGUGAGAGCGGGAGCCCGGAGAUGGGCACUGAGACAAGGGCCCAGGCCCUACGGGGCGCAGCAGUUGCGAAAACUCCGCAAUAUGCGAAAGCGUGACGGGGCUACCCCGAGUGCCGCCCGCUGAGGGCGGCUUUUCCACGGUGUAAGGAGCCGUGGGAAUAAGGAGAGGGCAAGACUGGUGUCAGCCGCCGCGGUAAUACCAGCUCUCCGAGUGGUGAGGACGAUUAUUGGGCUUAAAGCGUUCGUAGCCGGCUCAACAAGUCUUCCGUUAAAUCCAACGAUCUAAUCGUUGGGCCGCGGGAGAUACUGCUGGGCUAGGAGGCGGGAGAAGCCGACGGUAUUCUCGGGGUAGGGGUGAAAUCCUGUAAUCCCGGGAGGACCACCAGUGGCGAAGGCGGUCGGCUAGAACGCGCUCGACGGUGAGGGACGAAGGCUGGGGGAGCGAACCGGAUUAGAAACCCGGGUAGUCCCAGCUGUAAACGAUGCGGGCUAGGUGUUGGGGUGGCCACGAGCCACCUCAGUGCCGCAUGGAAAGCAAUUAAGCCCGCCGCCUGGGGAGUACGGCCGCAAGGCUGAAACUUAAAGGAAUUGGCGGGGGAGCACCACAAGGCGUGAAGCUUGCGGUUUAAUUGGACUCACGCCGG
rnacentral:rRNA from 1 species